GGGGUUUUGCCAUGUUGACAAGGCUGGUCUCGAACUCCUGGGCUCAACCAAUCCAUCUGCCUUGGCUUCCCAAAAUGCUGAGAUUACAGGCAUGAGCUCCCAGUCAGGAAUCUUUUAAAAGUCUCCUGGAUUGUCUUGGAUGAGAAAAUAAAGAAAAAGAAGUCUUCCAGAGAACUCGAAAGCCUUUGAACAUGAUUCCCUUCCUUCGGAGGGGUGAGAGCAACUUUGUGGAGUUUCAGGCAAUAAGGAGAUUGCCCUGUCAGUUUACAGAAGGAAACGGAGGCGGAGAGAGAUGCAGCAGUUUGCCCAGGGUCUCAGAGAUGGGGUUU